AUGAUCCCAGAUUUCUGCCAAGUCAAAGAUAUCAGCUCGCAGGGUCAUUUGGCGUUGAGGAAGAGGGCGACUUGUCCCUGUUGGUCAGAAAAGCCCAGCCUGCAGAUGAAGGUCUGUAUGAGUGUGUGGUGGCCACCAACCUUGGACAGUGGAAUUGUACAAUCAUCCUAGAGGUUACAGGACCAAUGCUUAAGGAUCCUGAGGACCAAAAUGAGAUGCCCAAGAGGAACUUGAUGUGGUUGGCAGCUGUAUUUGUGGUUGUAGGCUCUCUUGCUUCUGGACUGUUGCUUCUCAAGCUGUUUCAAACCACAACACCCUGACGAUGUCUGUACCCAAGAUUACGCUGGUUAUGGCUACAGCCAGAUGACUGGAUAUGACUGCACUGCCUGAUAUGGCUGGAAGAGGGAGCAAUCUGGUGCAACAAGCCAAUUCUGGUUCUUUUCAGAACUUACCGUUUGACCAGUCAGAAUCUUGUGAAAAGUCAAAUGUAAAAUAUCAAUGCAAUUUACAUCACCAGAUCGUAUAAACCAAACCAGAUAUUUUUUAGCAUUUAUUGUGAUAUUGUGAAUAAAACCUGAAGUUAGGUUUGGGACAUUGGUUAUGGGAUCUUUGGAAGAAUAUGCACAUUGUCAGGGUUACACAAUUAUUUGUAAUACUAUAAAUGCGCUCAAACUACAUAUGAAAAGUAUUUUUUUAUCUUUAUCUUCUAUGUACAAACUCUCCUCUCUGUACCCCAGUAUUUCUUUGAAAUAUUAUUAUAACACCAUAAUGGGCCACAUAGUGUGGAAAACCAUAAUUAUACACUUCCCUUUGAUUUAAAAAAGUAUAUGACCUCUACAUUUAUCUGCUCAAUAUAUUAUAGUCAAAUAAAACCGAUGUCACCUUAAAGUAACUAAUUUGUCAGUGUUUUAUAAUAAAGGUCAAAACUAAUAGUUUUUCCUAUGUAAGGUAGUUAAAUAACAUCUCAGGGGUUUGAAUAGUUUUUUUGUCCCAAGAUACUGUUAAAGCCUUUCCAUGGUUCAUGCAGUUGGAAUUUGGAGAGUUGCAACUGUUUUUAUUUCCACAAGAGGGGGGGCUCCCUUUAUUCUCUGCAUUAUUUCAAUCAAACAUUCCUAGAGUACGGCCUUACAUCACAUUGAAAGCAGC
ensembl:lncRNA